CCACUACUAAGUUACACAGAAACCCAAGCCACCUGGACAAGGGUAAGGACUACAGCCCAUUGGUUCUGCUAAUUACUGUCUUCUGGUCAUCCCACAUAAGAAACAUCUAGAAGCUUCUAUCUCCUGGCCAUUCUAACCUGACAGCUGUAGCCUCAGACAGUGGAGCAGAGACAAUAUCUGGUUACACCUGUCCAACUUCCUGAUGCGGAGAACCGGCAUGCAUAAGAGAGGGAGUGGCUGUCUUCUACCACUAAUGCCCUUGCUAUUCAGCCACUGUAACCACAGAUGGCCAUUGCCUAUUAGAGUCUACGAGGACUGGAAGAAACUGUGAGUCGGGUAGAGGUAUCCGGCAGUUCGCUCCGAGUAGUGACUGUGGCCACUCUCUAGAUCUCCUGGUACAUUUCUGGCCCACAGGAAAGAAACACUAUCCAGGAAAUCCCCAGAUGCAGAUCAGACUCUGGGCACCUCAGUGGAAGCUUCUAUCCGAAGCCACCGCCCAUAACAAAUGGAAAACCCUCUGAAACUACACCACAAGAAUGACACCGUCCACCAGCAUCAGGCACCUGCCCUUGUCCUGUCCCUUCUUCAGACAUCCAUUGUCCAGGAAAUGCCAAAAUUGGUGUGUGUAAGGCAUGUGUGUGCAAAUGCAAGAGACACAGAAGACGGGCAGUGAGUGCAUACAGGAAGCCAUGCAGAACAAGAGGGACCAGGAGGGAACAGAUUCCAGACUGUGCAUCAUCCAAGUACACCCGAUUCCAUGCUACGUUCUAGCAGCAAGCCAGGACCUCAGGAACUUACGGAACUUAAGGUUUGACAACCCUCACAUCGAGACAAAUGCAAAUUGACAUUGGAGUGGGAUACCGUUGUUUUACCUACUAGAUUGGCAAAGAUAAAAAUGAUAUUUUAUUAUCUUGGCAGAGGUAUAGGGAACAAGAACAAAAUCACUGCUGUGGGCGCAAAAGAAAAAAAGGUUUUGGUAGAAUGUGCGUUUUUGAGGGAACACAAUUUGGUAAUAUCUAUCAAGAUUAAAAAUGUAUAUGGUCUGACUCAGCAA